UACGCGCUCGCAUUGCAUGUCCUAAAAAUAUCCCUCACCAAGAGCGCGGAUCAAAGGGGGCAGCAACGCAGCCACGAAUCCCGCCCCUGCAUUGAACCCAGAGCCUCUCAGAGGAGAAACAUACCCGGAGAGCAAAGGGCUGCAUCCACAACUGUGCAGAGGAGAGAGAGGCAGUCUCAACUUACAGAGACGCGCACUGACGGCUAACCUGCGGAACGAGUCCGUCCCUGUGAACCAGGGACAUCCCCGACGGACUGAGGACAACCGUCCAAUGCAUCGAGGUCUAACUUGAAUGUAGAUGCAGCAAAAUAGUUUGGAGACAGUUCGAAGAGGACGAAGACAGGGCUGUUAAACGCCCAUACUCUCAGUUCCCAAGUUGCGUCUCGGGAUUCCUCCACCUGAUGAGUAGAGGGUUUUCUGUGCGGAUCAAACCCGAGUUGGAAGUCUAAAAUGAAUGAGCAUCAGAAGUGGGAAAUGGCCGGUAAACCGAGUGAGGAGAAGCGGAUUCGCGUCGAGCAACAGCGACCUUCAAAACAGCUGUGGAAAAAAUGGAGCCAUUUGCCAAGCGUAAUGAUUUGCGUUGCAGCAUGUGUUCUGUGCAUCGGAGUUUGCAUUGUGGUUUUGCUGCGGACCUCGGAGCUGCAGACCAGGCUAGUGAGUCUGGAGCAACGGCAAAGAGACGCGCAGCUCUCAGCAUGGAUGUUGUCUCUGGAACAGGCGGAGCCCGUUAUCCUGGGCCGACUGGACCAGAUCCUGGACGAGAAGCUUGCAGCGAGAAUACCAAAGACAAGGGAGUCGAGGGAAGCUCCCCACAGCUGCUUGUGUCCUCCAGGACCUCCAGGUCCUCCUGGACGUGCAGGCUUUCCGGGGGACAAAGGAAACAUAGGGAUUCCUGGGAGAAUGGGCUUAAAAGGACAAGCAGGGGAGAAGGGCGCAACAGGCGAGCCAGGUCUGUCUAUCAUUGGUCCAAGAGGACCUCCGGGGCAACCUGGGACAAGAGGAUUUCCAGGCUUUCCAGGUCCAAUUGGGUUGGAUGGCAAGUCUGGACAGAAUGGACUGAAGGGAGACAUGGGGGAUCCUGGACCCAAAGGGGAGAAGGGCGUAUGUGGAGACUACACACACCGGGGUCUCUUUGUGCAGGAUCUCCCUCUGAAAACCCUGGCUGCCUUGCGCUCCAGUCAGGCUCUGAUGUUGAAGAUGUUGCCCAUCACCGUACGCAACAUGCCCUCAAUAAGCCCUCUAAUCCUAAAACGCCUCAAGCAGGGUGAGCAGGGACCCCCGGGACCUCCAGGACCGCCAGGACUCCCAGGGACCCCGGGCAUUAAUGGAGCUAGUGGCCCAGUGGGUAAGCCUGGUGAACCAGGCAAACCAGGAAAAGACCCACGGCUUCUACCGGGACUGAAGGGGGAGCAAGGUGUGCCGGGACAAAAGGGGGAUCAAGGUGAUGUUGGCCCACUAGGUCCUCAGGGCCCAAAGGGAGUUAAGGGGGACCAAGGACUUAAGGGACAUGAAGGAAAAAGGGGGUUUCCGGGAGAGAAGGGCCAGGUUGGUCUCCCAGGUACCCCUGGCAUCCCAGGCAAGAGAGGCUACAGGGGUGAGAGGGGACAACCGAGCAUUGCAGGCCAGGGAAUUAAAGGAGAACCAGGCUCACCAGGACGGCCAGGCCUGAUUGGAAUCAAGGGUGACACUGGAGAUAAAGGAGAGAAGGGGGAUGCCGGCCUUGAAGGCCCAGCGGGACCAAGAGGUCCACUAGGCCCAGCUGGUGAGCCAGGAAAGACUGACAUCCAAAACAAUGACAAUGAUAUUCGCAACAUACCCCUGAUGGGCCCUCCUGGAUUACCUGGACCUUCAGGGGCCCCUGGGCUCCCUGGGACAAAGGGUGAAGUUGGUGUGCCAGGUCCUCCAGGACUGGAUGGAGAGAAGGGGCCAAGGGGAAAGCCUGGAGAGCCCGGUCCUGCAGGCCCAGCUGGUCCCGAAGGUCCCAGAGGCAUGGGUGGUGUCAUAGGCUUCUCGGGGCCAAAAGGAGACAAGGGAGACAUGGGUUCAUCUGGAUCACCUGGUUUAGAUGGCCCCACGGGUGAAAAGGGGGCUACAGGGGCCCCUGGCCCUACUGGAUUACCUGGCUCAAUGGGUCAUAAAGGCGAACCUGGCGAAGGAGGAAGGUCACAAAUGAUCUAUGGACCUCCAGGGCCUCCAGGAAGUCCAGGACCAGUUGGCCCAGCAGGAGAACCAGGAUUAGGCAUGAGAGGAGAAAAGGGAGCGUCGGGUCAGAAGGGUGACAAGGGCGACAGAGGCCAUCUUGGACUUCCUGGGGCUCAUGGGUUAGACGGCAGACCGGGUCCAGUGGGUCUAAUAGGACCAUCAGGUGUGUCAGGGCCAGCAGGACCAAAGGGGGAGAGAGGUGAAACAGGGAAUGCUGGAUUGCCAGGACCAAAUGGGCCUCAAGGCAUCCCUGGUUUAGUUGGACCACAAGGACUGAAAGGCAACCGGGGAGAGAGGGGCAAGAAAGGCAACAGGGGGGCCAAAGGGGAUAAGGGAGACCAAGGAGCACCUGGAUUAGAUGCCCCCUGUCCGUUGGGUUUCCGAGGCUUUAAAGGGGAGAAAGGUGAACCGGGCUUGCCAGGCCUGGACGGGCUGGAUGCCCCUUGUCCUGUGGUAUGGUGCCCUUUUUACCCUUCACUUAACGCAGCAUGCCUCUAGCUAUCCCUAACCAAACCCGUGGAUAUGUCCACUCAGAUCUUGCACUUUAAAUUUACAAAACAACAUGCAUGUUUGCAUGGAGAUUUAAACCUAUUUAUAUGUAGUUGACUGACCUUAUAAUAACCCAAACUUUUCCAACUGACCUCCAUUAGAACUAAAGUGAACAAGCUUUUUAUUCUGAUAUCAAAUACUUUUUAAUUCAACCUCUCCAUCACUACUAGUCAAGAUUUCUUUGUUAACAUCACAUGCGGAUAUAUGAUGACUAAUCAUAUAUGACUAAUAUUAACAAACGCAACCAGAUAUUAACAUUGUUGUUGAAAUAUGGCUUUCUACAUAACACCUUGUUUCCUACACCAUCGCUUGCAUUGAGCUCACAUUUCCUACUUCUUCGGGGCAUCAGAAUACCACAGGGGGUGAAAAGCAGUACGGAACUAGAUUUCUAUCUUUUUCAAAGCAAGUGAGAGUAUGUAAUAACAUUUCCUACAAGUUUACUCAUUGCCAAUGUUCCUUCUUCUGUUCCAACAACCUACAUUUUUGAUUCUUGCAUUUCUUUUGGACACUGUUCAGAAGCUGUUACUAAAUGCAAGGAAUUCAGAAGUUACUGCCACUGCUAAGGGUUGGGACGUGUAAAGUUGAAGUUUGUCGCAACUACAACUGACUAAAUAUUAUUUCCAACUGGUGUCACAUUGUAGGACUUUUUGGAGAUAAGAUAUUGUUAAUCACAAUGUCAAUCCUCACGACAUCUCCAAAGAAAAGCAACAACUAAUUUAACAAUAUAUAGUCUGCCUUUGCAAAGCUAAUUGAAAAAAAGUUAAUCUUCAACAUGCUUUAUACAUAUGGUAAUGGAGAAACGUCUCUUCAAUUUCUGAAUUGUAUCUUCACAGGUAAGGUUAUGUCAUUCCCAUUUCUUUGUUAAUGCAAGCAUUGCUCCUCUGGAUUAUUACCAAAAUAAAUGAAAUCAUGUUUCAAAAUAAUUUUAUUCUAUUGCAUACAACCGGCAGCCUGUUACUAACUGGAAAUGUAUUUUAAAGGCACCAUUAAUUUCUUUAGAAAGUGUUAAGCUUCAGGCAGCAUUUGAACAACCGUACAAUCCUCUUGCUGUGUUAUUAGCAGCAGCACUGUUGUGUCAUGAAGAAGCCCUUCUCAUUUGUUUGGUUAUGAUCUCAUCUGGUUUUGGUAUCUAUACUCAAAAUGAUGAAUUCUUAAAAUGUUGUCCUUUACAUCGUUGAGAAGUUGGGAGAUCCUCUGGAUCUGGAAGUAUUAUUAACAACUGAUUAUUUUAAUGACAGCGGCGAUGUUCGUUUACAUUGAAACAUACUAUAGAUAGACAAAUACUCUUGCAUAGUUAGAUUACUUAACAAUUUUGCUACUUUUUUCCAUUAAGAGACCAUGCUACACAUUGUUGAUUUGUUCAGCAAAAACUAUCAAGUUUUUUUCAUAACCAAAACAAGAGCAUAAACUUCAUUAAAGUUUAUGUAAGAAAAUUAAUUAUUUCCGGUUCCCUGUCUUUGGAGAUACUGUACUACCUUUGUUUAUUGUCAGAAAGUGCCAGUUUUAAAAUUACAGUUAAUUAAGUUAGUUAAUUAAACUUGAAAAACCAAAAUUAAGUAUAGACAACAAAAAAUCUGAAGCUACCAGCAUAUAACUGGGGAAAAUAGUACAACUUCUAAUUGUGACUAGGGCAACAAAUCUGUGAUGCAUUAUGUAGAAAAAUUACUUUCACUGUAACCAUAAAAUUAGUACAUUGUUUUCACUUCUCUUAUUGUUUUUCUCAGGGAGAUGAUGGCUUACCUGUACCAGGAUGUUGGAAUAAAUGACAAUAACUUUGGAAUGGCUUGUGUGAUUGUAAAUAGGAUAUUUAUUUUUUUAUAUUUUCCCAAUUCUUUUAUUUGUGCGGGAUAAAAAUGAAAUCCUAUAAAAUAUAUGGCAGCAUUUUGUACAGAUGUUUUAUUUGACUACGUAUGACAGUGUUUAUGUAUUGGAUUUUUAUAUCUCUGUAUUUUAAUAUUGGAUUUGAUAAGUAAAGCAUGAUAUUUGUGCAAAAUGUGAAGUGGAUAAUGCUUAUUAACUUGUAUUAUCUGGUGUGUUUUAAUAGACCAUGCUGCACUGAGUUGUGGGGCUGGAAAGAUGUGUUGAAAAACUAACAUGGAAAAACUGCAUAUACACACGUUUCAAUUCAACUACAUGUUCACAUAGAAAGCUAUUAAAAGUCUGCCCUUUGAACUUUUGGUCAUAUGUCAUGAUGAACAUGCAGACUAAAAUGAUCUUAUUUAGGGCUAUCUCGUUAAUGAUAGAUUUUUAUAUCUGGUAACGAUGUUCCUCUAGGAUCUGACAGCUGUGAAUGACACAAUAACUGCAUUUGAAGGUCACAACAAAUUAUAAUGCAAACCGGAUUAUUUACAAUUAAAAGACUGACCCUCAGAACA